UCAUUUCUCUUCUUAUACAGGCAGAAUCCAGCCGCACAGACGAUGGUUACAAGAAGGAGAACAACAGCGAUGAUGACAAUGAUCAUGUAGAUGGGAUUCACUUUGGUCUUGAUCUCUCGUUUGUCCAGUUUGGUGACGAUGUCCUCCUUCACACCAGAGAGCUGAAACACACAGUCGUACUUCCCCCAGUCAUCAGAGGGCAGUUGAAGGUCAGCGCUGAUCUGGAAGGAGCCGUCGUGGUUGGGGAGGAUCUCUCCCUUGUCCACGUCCUCGUGAAGCUCCUCUCCAUCUUUCCUCCAGAACAUCAUGGCUCUGUUGGGGUAGAAACCUGUAGCGUGGCAGGUGACCCGAGAGGAGGGAGUCUUCUGGAGGAGAGACACUGUGGGGAGGUCUGGAGGACAAACAGGAAGACAGAUUAUAGUUUCUUUAUCAGGAUUUACUCUUAAAUACUGUUACAACUCAUGUUUGAUGACACUUUUUAAAUGUACUGGUAAAAAAAGGGACUUUAAAAUCCAGUGAGUCAACAAUGAAAAUCAACCUUAUUAAAGUAUAAUUCAAAGAAGAGAGGGUCAGAGGGGAAGAAACAGAAGAAGAGAGGUGAGGGGGGUUCAGAUGGAUUGAUGAAGAAGAAGAAGAGGAGAGAGAGAAAGUACAAUAAAAACACAGAGAAACUUUGAGAGAGAGCGAUGAGCAGCAGAGAGAAAGAGAUCUAACAUGAAGGGAAAGGUAAGGGGAAGCUUAAAGAUGAAGACAGAGCAUGUGUGAUAGAAACAUGUGAGAAAUAUUUAUUGUUCAAUUACAAGAUAAACAAGAAAAGAAGAAGAUGAACAUUGUCAGAAUUCAUCUCCAUCAGGUCAUUUGAUCCUACCUGUUCUCAUCAGAGAGCUCCUCCCAUAGUUCACAAACUUCUUCAGCCAGUCAACACAAUCCUUGGUGAGGUAGUUCUUAAGAUACUCUAAACCAGCUUUGUUAUUAUCCCACUUCUGUUUGGUGACGACAGCCUGUUGUUGUGGAGCGACCCACGUCAUUGUCUUCAUGUCCAGAACUAUGAAGUCUUCUCCAUCAUAACCAUCUUGAAAAUAACCAUUAACAUCUCCAGUCUCAUCAUCCCACUCACAGCCUACCAUCCUCUGG